rnacentral:rRNA from 1 species
UACGAAGGGGGCUAGCGUUGCUCGGAAUUACUGGGCGUAAAGGGCGCGUAGGCGGACAGUUUAGUCAGAGGUGAAAGCCCAGGGCUCAACCUUGGAAUUGCCUUUGAUACUGGCUGUCUUGAGUACGGGAGAGGUGAGUGGAACUCCGAGUGUAGAGGUGAAAUUCGUAGAUAUUCGGAAGAACACCAGUGGCGAAGGCGACUCACUGGCCCGUUACUGACGCUGAGGCGCGAAAGCGUGGGGAGCAAACAGGAUUAGAUACCCUGGUAGUCCACGCCGUAAACGAUGAGUGCUAGUUGUCGGCAUGCAUGCAUGUCGGUGACGCAGCUAACGCAUUAAGCACUCCGCCUGGGGAGUACGGUCGCAAGAUUAAA